rnacentral:sRNA from 1 species
GGUGAACCUGCGGAAGGAUCAUUAUUGAAUGAACUUGGCUCGGUUGCAGCUGGUCCUCUCGAGGGCAUGUGCUCGCCGUGUCAUCUUUAUCUCUCCACCUGUGCACCUUUUGUAGACCUGGAUUAGUUAACUUUCCGAGGCAACUCGGUCGGGAGGAUUGCUUUCACGAGCUCUCCUUGCAAUUAAGCCAGGCCUAYGUUUUCAUAUACCCCAAAGUAUGUAACAGAAUGUAUCAUAUGGCCUUGUGCCUAUAAACUAUAUACAACUUUCAGCAACGGAUCUCUUGGCUCUCGCAUCGAUGAAGAACGCAGCGAAAUGCGAUAAGUAAUGUGAAUUGCAGAAUUCAGUGAAUCAUCGAAUCUUUGAACGCACCUUGCGCUCCUUGGUAUUCCGAGGAGCAUGCCUGUUUGAGUGUCAUUAAAUUCUCAACCUUACCAGCUUUUGCUGAUAAUGGCUUGGAUGUGGGGGUCUUUUGCUGGCUUCGUCAAGAGGUCUGCUCCCCUUAAAUGUAUUAGCCGGUGCCCCGCGCAGAGCCGUCUAUUGGUGUGAUAAUUAUCUACGCCGUGGACGUCUGCAUGAAUGGGAUUGCGCUGCUUCUAACCGUCCUUCACUGGACAACACAAAUGACAAUUUGACCUCAAAUCAGGUAGGACUACCCGCUGAACUUAAGCAUAUCAAUAAG